rnacentral:rRNA from 1 species
AUACAGAGGGUGCGAGCGUUAAUCGGAAUUACCGGGCGUAAAGCGCGCGUAGGCGGCUUGGUCAGUCGGAUGUGAAAGCCCCGGGCUCAACCUGGGAAUGGCAUUCGAUACUGCCAGGCUAGAGUAUGGGAGAGGGAAGUGGAAUUUCCGGUGUAGCGGUGAAAUGCGUAGAUAUCGGAAGGAACACCAGUGGCGAAGGCGACUUCCUGGCCCAAUACUGACGCUGAGGUGCGAAAGCGUGGGGAGCGAACAGGAUUAGAAACCCUAGUAGUCC